rnacentral:rRNA from 1 species
UACGGAGGGUGCAAGCGUUAUCCGGAUUUACUGGGUUUAAAGGGUGUGUAGGCGGGUCUUUUAAGUCAGUGGUGAAAUCUCCGAGCUCAACUUGGAAACUGCCAUUGAUACUAUUGAUCUUGAAUUUUGUUGAGGUAGGCGGAAUAUGUCAUGUAGCGGUGAAAUGCAUAGAUAUGACAUAGAACUCCGAUUGCGAAGGCAGCUUACUAAGCAAAUAUUGACGCUGAGGCACGAAAGCGUGGGGAUCAAACAGG